CGAGCGGGCAGGGGAGAUUGUUCUCUAGUCGGCUAGGAUCUUUUCAGGUGGGAGGUGGUGCCCGUUGUCCUACAGCUCGUGGCCGCGCCGCCCGGGCCUGCGGCUGCGCCGCCAGCCACUCCCCGACCUCGACCGCGUCAAGCCCCGCCCGACGAAGACCUCGCACCUCGACCGCAUGGUCGCCGAGGGGCCGCACCGCGCGUGCCUCCACCCGAUGAGCGUCCCCGUGGAGCUGCCCGGCUGGAUGGCGCUGCAGACGCCGCCGCCGUGGCCGGUGCGGCUCCAGCACGCGCACGUGAUGCUGGGGUUCCUCACGGGGAUGCGGCACGAGGAGCUGCAGAAAACCCGGUUCGUGUUGGGGUGGUGCGAGUUGUUCGUCCCGUUGCUGCAGCCCUGCGUCAUGGCCAGCCCGUAGAUGAUGAUGUGCCGCCUCGUCCUCGCCGUCCGCGCCCUCAGCGACCGCCUCUUCGUCGCCCUCACCUUCCUCUUCUAGCACUGCCUCCAGGAGGGCCGCGCCUCCAAGAUGGGCCGGCUCCUGAUGGUGGUCGUCAUGGAGCUCUUCCCGCCGGUCAGGCGGUUCUUCGCGACGAGGCUGGGGUAGGCGACGAUGCCGACUUUCGUGGCGGGGGCAGGGGCUGGCGGAUUCGAUAACCACGACGUAACGGUAAUCGUAGUAUGUACUGUGGCAGAUGGACUGGCGGAUUCGAUAACCACGACGUAACGGUAAUCGUAGUAUGUCCUGUGGCAGAUGGACUGAGAAGAACAACAACAAUGUUAUUUGUUUGGGUACGCACGUCGCACAAUUCCAGCUGAACCACCUCCUAACCUGGGGCGAGAGCGGUACGAGCAGCGUGAGCCCCGUAUCGCUCGAGAGAAGGAGGAUGCUGCUCCUGCUGGAGGUCGACGGCGUGUAGAUCAGUCCUUGCACCCACCGCGUACACCUCCUGCCAGUUCCGGGCCCCGCAGCGAGACGUGGCGCGCCUGGCCAGCGUCCCACGCCGCCGGGGUAGGAGCCCGAAGGUUCCGCACUAGUUCUUCUGCCGCUGUCGUCGCCGCCGAUCCCGGCCAGGACCUCCCUGACCGACGAGCCCGCGCCUACGGUGCGGUUCCUCUCGUCGCGCCUGCACCAACGGCCCCGCGUGGCGGCGGCGUCGGCGUAGAGCCAACCCUCCGCGCUGCGCUUUCUUACGCGCCGGUAGCACCCCCGGAUGCCCCGUCGGCAGAGUCGGUGCGACGCUCAGUGAGGAGGCGAAGACGAGGCAGUUCGAGGUGGCGGAGGUCGUGGUCGUUGUCUUCUGGGUCAACGAGCGAAGAAGUCGAAGAGGCUGAAGCCAGCACACGAGAGGGGAGGCGGCGCGUGCCUGACGUACGUUGAACUCUACCUUUUGCGGUACUAGCUCCGGGACGUCUGGGGCGACCGCAAACUUCUACCACCGGAGAGGGGUGGAGUAGUCGGAGGGCGGCACGUUCUAUACCUGUCGGGGCUCUACUAGGGUACGGACGAGGGUACGUAGUGGAGGGGUUGCCACCGGUGACGUCCGAAGGUCGACAGUCGCCACUGCUUCGCGCACCCGUGCUAGGUCUAGUCACUUCCUCCGCCGAGCCUCAACAAACGCGUACAGGGGGGCGGGUAGUAGUCGGGCCGAGCGGGUGCGGGGAGACGCGGUGGUUUCAGGUCCCGGUGGAGCCGUGGAAGAGCGGCAUCACGAGCGGUCCCACGUCGUCGUUUGGGCUACGGUCACCGAGUUGCCCGCCACGAAGCGGACCACGUCCUCAACCCGCGCGAGCCCGGUUUCCUGUACUACUGGGGUUUCCACCGCUGUCACGAGUACUUCGCCAAGAUCCUCGGAAACAGACUGCCUCUGUAGCGACGGUAGCGGUUCGAGUGACCCGACCUAGUUCGACGUGAGUUCUAACGACGACCGUACCGGCCCUAGCGGCCGCGGCUACUCAGAGAGGUACAAACUAGUACAAUCAAUCCAGAAGCUAAUCAGAGGCAGCAGUCGACCAGAAUUUUGUCGAACUCAAUACCAUACACCGCUCUAGCUGCUGCUACCCAAAAACACGGGCAACCACCGGCAGCAGCGGGGGCCGUACAACAUUCCACAUCACGUAGUAGAAGUAAUCUACACUAGCUGCCUCUUACGG
rnacentral:rRNA from 1 species